GUUGUAUAGUCAAGUAAUUAAGUGCAUGUGGUGGAUGCCUUGGCAGUCAGAGGCGAUGAAAGACGUGAUAGCCUGCGAAAAGCUCCGGGGAGGCGGCAAAUAUCCUUUGAUCCGGAGAUUUCUGAAUGGGGGAACCCACCUACUUUAAGGUAGGUAUUGCAACAUGAAUACAUAGUGUUGCAAGGCGAACGAGGGGAAGUGAAACAUCUCAGUACCCUUAGGAAAAGAAAUCAAUUGAGAUUCCCU
rnacentral:rRNA from 1 species